rnacentral:rRNA from 1 species
GAUGAACGCUGGCGGCGUGCCUAAUACAUGCAAGUCGAGCGAACAGACGAGGAUCUUGCUCCUCUGACGUUAGCGGCGGACGGGUGAGUAACACGUGGAUAACCUACCUAUAAGACUGGGAUAACUUCGGGAAACCGGAGCUAAUACCGGAUAAUAUAUUGAACCGCAUGGUUCAAUAGUGAAAGACGGUUUUGCUGUCACUUAUAGAUGUAUCCGCGCCGCAUUAGCUAGUUGGUAAGGUAACGGCUUACCAAGGCAACGAUGCGUAGCCGACCUGAGAGGGUGGUCGGCCACACUGGAACUGAGACACGGUCCAGACUCCUACGGGAGGCAGCAGUAGGGAAUAGUCCGCAGUGGGCGAAAGCCUGACGGAGCAACGCCGCGUGAGUGAUGAAGGUCUUCGGAUCGUAAAACUCUGUUAUUAGGGAAGAACAAAUGUGUAAGUAACUAUGCACGUCUUGACGGUACCGAAUCAGAAAGCAACGGCUAACUACGUG